GUGUCAGCCGCCGCGGUAAUACAUAGGGUGCAAGCGUUGUCCGGAAUUAUUGGGCGUAAAGAGCUCGUAGGUCGUUUGACACGUCGGAUGUGAAAAUCUGAGGCUUAACCUCAGACCUGCAUUCGAUACGGUCAAACUAGAGUGUGGUAGGGGAGACUGGAAUUCCUGGUGUAGCGGUGGAAUGCGCAGAUAUCAGGAGGAACACCAAUGGCGAAGGCAGGUCUCUGGGCCAUUACUGACACUGAGGAGCGAAAGCGCGGGGAGCGAACAGGAUUAGAUACCCUGGUAGUCCGCGCCGUAAACGGUGGGCACUAGUUGUGGGAACCUUCCACGGUUUCCGCGACGCAGCUAACGCAUUAAGUGCCCCGCCUGGGGAGUACGAUCGCAAGAUUAAA
rnacentral:rRNA from 1 species